UACGGGGGGGGCAAGCGUUGUUCGGAAUUACUGGGCGUAAAGGGCUCGUAGGCGGCCAACUAAGUCAGACGUGAAAUCCCUCGGCUUAACCGGGGAACUGCGUCUGAUACUGGAUGGCUUGAGUGUGGGAGAGGGAUGCGGAAUUCCAGGUGUAGCGGUGAAAUGCGUAGAUAUCGGGAGGAACACCUGUGGCGAAAGCGGCGCACUGGACCACAACUGACGCUGAGGCGCGAAAGCUAGGGGAGCAAACAGG
rnacentral:rRNA from 1 species